rnacentral:ncRNA from 1 species
CGGCUACAAAAGGGGUGCCUUACGGAUUCUAAAAGGAGUCUAUCGGGCUGAGAUCAUACCCAAAUAACCUGAUCCGGAUAAUGCCGGCGUAGGGAAGUAUGAUAAACCAGUA